rnacentral:lncRNA from 1 species
AAAAAAACGGAAAAAGCAGAUUUGCACAAAAAAAACGGGAAAGCAGAUUUGCACAAAAAAAAGAGAAACGAGAUCUGAAAAAGAGAAAAAAGAACGAGACCAAAAGGUCUUGAAAAAGAGAGUGACGAGCAGAAGGGAGGAAACAGAGGACACACAAAAAUGGGGAAUGCAAAACAGUGCAAUCUCCCACAAAUUCCAGCCUGAAACUAGCUUAAAAUUGUCCCUAUAUUCACUCCAAACUACCAUGAAAACCCAGCCAUAAACCCAUUAAAAAUCAAUCCAUCGACCACUGUCGAAGCUUGCAGUUCUCGCCAUGAAAUUCUGCUCCGAAUAGCCAAAAAAUGCAGCUGAAAUAACUGCAAAAACAGUCAUGAGACAGCCCUGUUUCAGUCACGAAAAAUGCAGCCAUUCCAUCACCCAAACACCUCCAUUUUCUGCUUUGAAAAUCACCAAUGUUACAUUAGUUUUCGGCCAUGGAAACACCUCUAAACUCCAGCAAUUUUCAGCACCAAACUCCAGCUCAAAUACAUAUCAAUAAUCAACUAAAAAUCACAGCCUUAAACGCCACUUCUCUUGAAGUUUUAGCCUAGCUUUGAGUUUUCCGGUGAGGUGCCUUUCGAUGUAAACGCCGUUGUUUUCGCAUUCAUCCACUUCAUAGACGAUUUGCUGUACGAGUUCCAUUAUCAAUAUAUUGGAAAGCUUGAGGUUCAUUCUUAGCCUUAUCUCCCCUCUUUUGAUGAGUUCAAGUGUCUAUAAUACUUGCCUUAACUGUAUGCUAAUAAUUUAUGUUAGAAUGGGCUCAACUUCUAUUUGAUUAAUAUAUGUGUAUACCCUGCUUACAUGAACAAAUAAAUUUAUUGCAUCGUAUAGAUUAAAAGAAAGGGGCGUAAAAGGAUCUUAAAUGGCUCGCUUGCUUUAUUGUCCAUUUGCUUAAUGCCUUGGAUGACUGUUUCAUGACUCAUCAUAUUAAACUUUUAAAGAUAUCUUCGUGUAAGUUGGUAAAAGAGUUACC